ACAGAGCCCAAGGUUUCCGCGUGCAACCUGCACUCAUUUGCAUGUUACUAUAAAAUUAAAAUUUUCUUGGGAAGAUAAUGAUUGUAAUUAAGCUCUUGCUUUGGAUCCCUUUCUCUCGCCAAACACCAAAUAUAUCCUUGUUGGCGAAAAGGAAUUUGUCCUGUGUUGUUGAUACCUGAAGAAAGAAAGAUAAAAAUAGACGGAAAGAGAGAGAGAGAGAGAGAAGAGAGAUUAUACAUUAUGGAUGAUUGCAGGCCUUUAGGUUUCUUGAUUGGAUUGCCGUUUGCUCUUAUUGCUCUGGUUUUGUCUCUCAUCGGAGCUGUUGUUUGGGUUAUCGGUUCUGUGCUGAGUUGCCUCUGCCCUUGUUGCAUUUGUUGUGCUGGACUCGCAAAUCUUGCAGUGAGCCUAGUGAAGUUGCCUGUGAAUGUCAUUCGAUGGUUUAUUGAUCUGAUUCCUUGUUGAUUGAUUUCAACAAUAGCCCAGCAAGAUCGGGAUAUUCAAUUACUUCAUUCUUUCUUUCUUUUUUUGUAGGGUCCUGCCUGUGAGUGCAGGCCAGGAGUUUUAAUCGAAUAAUUGAUGGUAGUUCUGGUUAGGAGAGCUUGCAGUGAUUGAUUUUUUAUAUUUGUAUGAUUAUUGUGUGAUAUUAGCUGUGCAGUUUGACAGUGUUGUUGGAAAAUCCCCGUACUAGAAGUUAAUUUCCUGGUGAUUUUGUGCUAUAUUUGCAUUAAUUUUCUUAAACACAGAAAUCGUGUAAGGCUCAUCAUCUGGUAAAAUCUUAUAUUUCAUUCCCUUCCAUUU